rnacentral:rRNA from 1 species
GAUGAACGCUGGCGGCGUGCCUAAUACAUGCAGGUCGAGCGAACAGACGAGGAGCUUGCUCCUCUGACGUUAGCGGCGGACGGGUGAGUAACACGUGGAUAACCUACCUAUAAGACUGGGAUAACUUCGGGAAACCGGAGCUAAUACCGGAUAAUAUAUUGAACCGCAUGGUUCAAUAGUGAAAGACGGUUUUGCUGUCACUUAUAGAUGGAUCCGCGCCGCAUUAGCUAGUUGGUAAGGUAACGGCUUACCAAGGCAACGAUGCGUAGCCGACCUGAGAGGGUGAUCGGCCACACUGGAACUGAGACACGGUCCAGACUCCUACGGGAGGCCGCAGUAGGGAAUCUUCCGCAAUGGGCGAAAGCCUGACGGAGCAACGCCGCGUGAGUGAUGAAGGUCUUCGGAUCGUAAAACUCUGUUAUUAGGGAAGAACAAAUGUGUAAGUAACUAUGCACGUCUUGACGGUACCUAAUCAGAAAGCCACGGCUAACUACGUG